AAAUGAAUUGACGGGGGCCCGCACAAGCGGUGGAGCAUGUGGUUUAAUUCGAUGCAACGCGAAAAACCUUACCUACCCUUGACAUGCCAGGAAUCCUAAAGAGAUUUGGGAGUGCCCGCGAGGGAGCCUGGACACAGGUGCUGCAUGGCUGUCGUCAGCUCGUGUCGUGAGAUGUUGGGUUAAGUCCCGUAACGAGCGCAACCCCUAUUGUUAGUUGCCAGCGAGUAAAGUUGGGCACUCUAAUGAGACUGCCGGUGAUAAACCGGAGGAAGGUGGGGAUGAUGUCAAGUCAUCAUGGCCCUUAUGGGUAGGGCUACACACGUGCUACAAUGGCCGGUACAAAGGGAAGCGAAGUCGCGAGAUGGAGCGAAUCCUCAGAAGCCGGUCGUAGUCCGGAUUGGAGUCUGCAACUCGACUCCAUGAAGUCGGAAUCGCUAGUAAUCGUGGAUCAGCAUGCCACGGUGAAUACGUUCCCGGGCCUUGUACACACCGCCCGU
rnacentral:rRNA from 1 species